UUUGCAUCGAUCAUUUUUUCCUAUUAGUGAAUUUUAUUGUUGCAUUGUUCUCAUUCAGAUGGGAUUGCAAUUGCUGGAUGUAUUAGCUAUAAAUUGUACUUCACUUAUGGCCAUCAAGAGUUUUAUUUUAUUGUGGGACUCAUUAUCUAAUUGUGGAUUAUAUGGUUGGGCAUUUUCUUGUAUGGGUCGAUGACGGUUUUGUAAUGGCUCGAAAGAGGACCUGAAGAUUGUUGACAUUUGGAUAUGAGAAUGGGAGUAUAGGACAAAUUGUCAUCUUUUGGAUCUGCCUUGGAACAUAUUGAAGGGGAUUGAAAAGUUCUUAGUGGGACAAAGGUCUCUAGGCUAAUGCAUGUAGAUUGAAGUUGGAUACCAAGAAGAGAAAGGUAAAGAUUGAUUCAUUCCAGCAUACAAAGAAAAUCAAGCUGACAAGAGCAUACUAUUAGGAAUCCGAACACACGGCAACAGAUUUGUAGACUUGAUGCAAGGAUCAGGUAGAACCUUGUUGCCAUGCAGCAGUCGGAACGUGAGCUCGAGGCCAUGUCUUCCUUUGAUUAUAGGGAAAUUAUGUUCUUCCUCAUCAGGCCAUUAUGGAGGGUCUGUACUGAAUUUAGUUUAACGGUUUUCUAUUAUCUGUUCCAGUUGUUGAGCAUUUCAUGUUGAGUUUGAGUUUAAAUGAUCUGGUCCACCUGGUUUAAAAUUACUUGUUUGGAUAGUCCUAAAAGGUUGUUGCUUUCUCUUGCUUGAUUUGUUAUGGAUUCUGAUCGAUGGGGCAAGGUGGCCCACCUCGAGAUGUGGAGUGUGAGAGGCCACGGCUUGUUUUGGAUCCGCCAAGGGUUGAAGGUGGAGGAUCUACAAAUGAGCCUGGAAGGACUCGAUCGAGCACAUUCAGUGCAGGCCAUUCGAGGGAGGAGGUUUUAGCUAAGAAAGGGCUAGAUUGGAGGAAGGUGGAUUCGGAGAUUGAGGUUACUGAACCCUGGUUAAUUUCUAUACACUUGCUCUCAACAAUAUUGAUUUAUCUUUUUCAUUUUCUUUUUCUUUUUUUCUUUUUUAUUUCAGUAACAAGUCAUGCCUUUAACCAGAUAUUGUCUCCUGUUUUUGUACAUGUACAUUGUUAAGUAAGAUACAAAUGUUGGUAAUGGAUGAUGUAAUGACACAGGUACAAGAAUGUCUUCCUUUCUUAUUUGCAUUUUUACUGAUAAAAGAUGUUACUUCAUAA